rnacentral:sRNA from 1 species
UGGUCUCCCACCAGCCAUGCCAUCCAUCC